AAAAUUGCUCUUCUCAAAUGCCGCUCACGGUUGCGGUGUGAAACGGCCGUAAGUCUCAUCAUACUAGUGCUGUCUUAUCUCCUGAACGCCACUUCACCUAUCAUCAGAGAUCACCUUCACUUGAGAGAGCUAAAGACGAUCACUAUAUGCCAUCUUCUCGCUAUCAGCAUUUCACUGCAUCUGAUGAGCCGUACUUCAGAGGACGAUCUCCUGUACGUUCCAGUAACAGCCAGUGCAGACCACAAGGGUGGCCCAGGUCAAGAUAUCAUCAGCAGCAAGGCUAUGAUAGACCCUUAUUCUAUGACAGUAGAGAUAGUCACUUUAGCUUGAAAUAAAUCAUGAUAUGAUAUUUCCUAAUAUUCACUGUUGUCCAUGGCAACACUGUAUAUCAGAUUAUUACCCCCUCACUGCCCAGUACGAUUAUGUGAGGUGUCCAUUUGUGUUGUUGCUCGGCCAUUUGUUUUUUUACAUUGUAAAUGACUUUUUAAAGCAAAAGCUUUAAGAUAAACACGUUAUAGCUGCUGUCAUGAUCACUGUCACACAUCAGUCUUUCUCACUUCAGUGGUUUGCACUUGCCACAAUUGAUCUGACCACAAUAAAAUCAACCUGCUAAUUUCAUGUAUUAAUUAGCUAAUUCAGUAUUGAAACCUCAAAUAUUUCAUAAAUAUUUGUGCAUUUCAAGUGAUUUCAUACAUAAAAGGUUGUACGUUUUAGAUGCUGUCAAAACAUUCUACAUUUAAAUUUUUAUACAAACAUACCAAAUAUAAUAAAGCUAGAAGUACACUUUACAUACAAAGAUCAAUGAAUGAUAAUGAGAUCACACUGGACAGAAAAUCUUUAAGAUUAAUUUUCGGUAAAUGCUACAGUCAUUCUCCUCCUGACACCUUGAGAUUGAAAUGAAAUGAUAAUAGAUGACAGACUCGUGGAACAGUGUGUCCAGCACAUAUUCAUCAUUUCUGUGAUUUAGAUUAUGUUUAUAUGUGUCAUGAUGUGUUGAAGUGAACUAACAGACGUGAUCCACAGAUCCAGCUGACACAGCAUCAGAAACUGAAGUCAGUGUGACUGCUGGAUCAUUAUUCAGAGUGAUUGUGAUCAUUGUUGAGAUGGCAGUCUUUGCUUCUCCUACUGUGAUUCUUCUUCAGAUCAUCUGUGCAAGAAGAGCUGGGAGGAAGGACUCGCAGCACCCAGAGGAAAUAGAGAUGCCUACAAUAUUACAAUAAAAUACUGCUGAGUUUGGAGACAAUCUGAAACUACUUAAAAUAAAAAAACUUACAGAGGAUUGUUCAUUAUUUGAUUUUCUUCUAAAAAAAAAACAGAGAAAAAACUCUGAAGAAAUAGUGACACCAAGUUUAGUUUUUUAUAAAUAGCAGCCGAGAAUUAUUUUCAUUCAUAUGGAUUUUAUGGAUAUUUGCAUACAGUGUUCAAGCUCAUUUUCUUUUGAUUCGUAUAUAAACUUCUAUAAAUAUUAAAUACAAUAAUGGACAGAUUUCGACAGACUGUUUGUAUAAUCCUCUCUCUGUUCUGUGUGAUGGACCUGAUGUCAUGAUCUGUUCAUUCUUUUUCUUUAGCAAUUUUAUUUUUUAAUUUUGGAUGAAUGCUACUAAUUUUCUUAAUAAAACCUCUGCUAUUGUG